CUCACUGGUCUAAUUAAGUCUUUCCGCACCGAAGAUGUAACGGGGCUAAAACCAUACACCGAAACUGUGGACACUCUUUUGAGUGUGGUAGCGGAGCGUUCCGUAAGCCGUUGAAGUUAUGUUGUAAAGCAUAAUGGAGGUAUCGGAAGUGAGAAUUCUGACAUGAGUAGCGAUUAAUAGUGUGAGAAACACUAUCGCCGUACAUCCAAGGGUUCCUGCGCCAGGUUAAUCCGCGCAGGGUAAGCCGGCCCCUAAGGCGAGGGCGAAAGCCGUAGUCGAUGGGAACCAGAUUAAUAUUUCUGGGCCUGCUAGAAGUGACGAAUACUAAACUUUGUUUUUCCUUAUCGGAUUGGAGAUGCAAAUAAGGUGUUCCAGGAAAUAGCUCUAGCAUAUAGACCGUACCCCAAACCGACACAGGUGGAUAAGUAGAGCAUACUAAGGCGUUUGAGAGAACGAUGUUGAAGGAACUCGGCAAAUUACUCUCGUAACUUCGGGAUAAGAGAGCCUUAAUUAUGGGCAACCAUUUUUAAGGGGCACAAACUAGGGGGUAGCGACUGUUUACUAAAAACACAGGGCUCUGCAAAGUCUUCAAGACGAAGUAUAGGGUCUGACGCCUGCCCGGUGCCGGAAGGUUAAAGUGAUGUGUGCAAGCAUUGAUCUGAAGCCCCGGUAAACGGCGGCCGUAACUAUAACGGUCCUAAGGUAGCGAAAUUCCUUGUCGGGUAAGUUCCGACCCGCAUGAAUGGCGUAACGACUUCCCCACUGUCUCCAACAUUGACUCAGCGAAAUUGAACUCUCCGUGAAGAUGCGGAGUACCCGUGGUUAGACGGAAAGACCCCGUGCACCUUUACUAUAGCUUCGUAGUGGUAUUAGUGAAUUAUUGUGUAGGAUAGGUGGGAGACUUUGAUGUAAGGGCGCCAGCUCUUAUUUAGUCGUCCUUGAAAUACCACCCUAUGAUUUAUUGAUAUCUAACCAAAUCCCGUGAACCCGGGAUUGGGACCCUGCGUGGUGGGUAGUUUGACUGGGGCGGUCGCCUCCUAAA
rnacentral:rRNA from 1 species